AUGGUACACAUCCUUAGCUCUGUACGUAGAUACCAUAUAUACUUCCUCUUCCCGUGCCACCAGUCAAUGUUCCGCUCAAGUAAAAGUCUACUCCUCAUCCAUACAACAUGUUACAUUUCCUCGGCUUACCAAUUUCUCUAUCCUAAGCAUGGGAGGUGUCAAGAAGUUCCCAAUGAUCUAUCUCAUCCAAGACCAGAUUCCCGUAGCUAA
rnacentral:rRNA from 1 species